GCCGGCAGCCAUAUCACCCUGUAGCCCAAGACUGGUUACCCACUGAAGCUAAGCAGGGUUGAGCUGGUCAGUACCUGGAUGGGAGACCUCCUGUGAAAACCGGAUGAGACGUUA
rnacentral:rRNA from 1 species